GCAGGAUACGGUGAUCCGGCGGCUGAGCCACGUCCCGGUGGUGCUCGCGAUCCCACCGGAAUUGCAGACCUGAGAGUUGUUGGCGAUGGAGAAGAGAAGUGUCGCUAACCUCUUCGUAAAGCCAUAGCUCUCUAGGAUCGUUGGAGGAGUUGUGGGAAUCAACAGUCGGCUCAGUAAUAGUAUAAGGUGUCGGUUGUUUAUGUGAUCUGUGGAGCAUUGUGUUGCAGAGAGAGAGCUUCUCCGAAUGGUGAGGCUGCAGCAGAAAGCAGUGACGUUGAGAAAAGAGCAUAAUUAAUGUGGCUUCAACCUUGGAACCUGAGGAAGCAGACAAUGGAGGAGGCUACAGUGCUCUGGUCAACCAACCAAGGAGUAUAUCGACUAUGCAGUUAAACAUGUUCUGUUAUACAUGUGAUAGUUUCUUCUUCCGAGUUCCUCAUUCUCUUCUUAAUGGUUAAGUACAAUAAAAAUAUCUAAAGCGAUUGUGAUUAAACCCCAUAAAUGUGCAGGGUUUGCUCGGAAUCAAGGUUAAGGUCAUGCUUGACUGGGACUCUAUUAGGAAGCUAGGACCAAUGACACCAUUACCAGAUGUUGUUAUCAUCCAUUCUCCCAAAUGAAAAGAUGUUAAUUCCGCACCUGAUCAGGUUGUUAAUUUUGCUGCUCUUCUAUUGGAAGCUCCCCUCACAGCCAUAGAUUACCCUGAGAUGAUCUCAGUCAUCUAGAAGAGAUGGCGUCAGGAAAGCCUCAUGUUCUUCCUAAAAGCAACCUUUCUAACGGAGAGAACUUACUCUAUAUGUUGGAUUCAAUAUUGUCAUCACUCUUGAGAUAUAUGUUGAGAAGAGUGCUAAUGGAUGGGCGAGUCUGAUGGUGAGGGCCACUGAGUUGAGCCUUCCAGCAAAGCGGAAAACUCCUCCCUUGGUAUCUAUUUGCGCAAAGCAAGUGGAAAGAGUCACAAAAGUUGCUCAAAUCCAGGAGAUUAUAAAGUCACAAGUGGUGAUUAGAUUUUUUUUUUUUUUUUUACAGUUGUGAUCUGUGUGAUCUUAUGAUUCACCCUGCUGGGCUGAGGGAGAAGCUAU